rnacentral:rRNA from 1 species
GACGAACGCUGGCGGCGUGCUUAACACAUGCAAGUCGAACGCUGAAGCCCUUCGGGGUGGAUGAGUGGCGAACGGGUGAGUAACACGUGGGUAAUCUGCCCUGCACUCUGGGAUAAGCCUUGGAAACGGGGUCUAAUACCGGAUAGGACACAUCGCCGCAUGGUGUGUGUGUGGAAAGUUCCGGCGGUGCAGGUUGAGCCCGCGGCCUAUCAGCUUGUUGGUGGGGUGAUGGCCUACCAAGGCGACGACGGGUAGCCGGCCUGAGAGGGUGACCGGCCACACUGGGACUGAGACACGGCCCAGACUCCUACGGGAGGCAGCAGUGGGGAAUCUUGCGCAAUGGGCGAAAGCCUGACGCAGCAACGCCGCGUGGGAGAUGACGGCCUUCGGGUUGUAAACCUCUUUCGACCGGGACGAAGGAUUCGUUUGACGGUACCGGUAGAAGAGGCACCGGCUAACUACGUGCCAGCCGCCGCCGUAAUAC